rnacentral:rRNA from 1 species
GAGAAGACUUUAGAUAUGAUCCAGAGUACCACGGGACACGUGAAACCCUGUGGGAAGCAGGAGGGACCACCCUCCAAGGCUAAAUACUACCUAGUGACCGAUAGCGUAUAGUACCGUGAGGGAAAGGUGAAAAGAACCCCGGGAGGGGAGUGAAAUAGAACCUGAAACCCUGCACUUACAAGCUGUGGAAGCACAUUUCUUGUGUGACCGCGUACUUUUUGUAGAACGGGCCAACGAGUUACGUUAAGUAG